rnacentral:rRNA from 1 species
UGGGGAAUUUUGGACAAUGGGCGAAAGCCUGAUCCAGCAAUGCCGCGUGCAGGAUGAAGGCCUUCGGGUUGUAAACUGCUUUUGUACGGAACGAAAAAGCUCCUUCUAAUACAGGGGGCCCAUGACGGUACCGUAAGAAUAAGCACCGGCUAACUACGUGCCAGCAGCCGCGGUAAUACGUAGGGUGCGAGCGUUAAUCGGAAUUACUGGGCGUAAAGCGUGCGCAGGCGGUUAUGUAAGACAGAUGUGAAAUCCCCGGGCUCAACCUGGGAACUGCAUUUGUGACUGCAUGGCUAGAGUACGGUAGAGGGGGAUGGAAUUCCGCGUGUAGCAGUGAAAUGCGUAGAUAUGCGGAGGAACACCGAUGGCGAAGGCAAUCCCCUGGACCUGUACUGACGCUCAUGCACGAAAGCGUGGGGAGCAAACAGGAUUAGAUACCCCAGUAGUCCCUGAGCGGGCUGGCAAGGCGCAU